rnacentral:sRNA from 1 species
CCCACGGCUUACCCCGUGGGCCAGACUAUUCCGCCCCUCCGGGGCU